CGUAGCUCAGCUGGAUAGAGCAACGGCCUUCUAAGCCGUGGGUCGGGGGUUCGAAUCCCUCCG
rnacentral:tRNA from 1 species